rnacentral:rRNA from 1 species
AACGAACGCUGGCGGCAGGCUUAACACAUGCAAGUCGAACGCCCCGCAAGGGGAGUGGCAGACGGGUGAGUAACGCGUGGGAACAUACCCUUUCCUGCGGAAUAGCUCCGGGAAACUGGAAUUAAUACCGCAUACGCCCUACGGGGGAAAGAUUUAUCGGGGAAGGAUUGGCCCGCGUUGGAUUAGCUAGUUGGUGGGGUAAAGGCCUACCAAGGCGACGAUCCAUAGCUGGUCUGAGAGGAUGAUCAGCCACAUUGGGACUGAGACACGGCCCAAACUCCUACGGGAGGCAGCAGUGGGGAAUAUUGGACGAGGGGCGCAAGCCUGAUCCAGCCAUGCCGCGUGAGUGAUGAAGGCCUUAGGGUUGUAAAGCUCUUUCACCGAUGAAGAUAAUGACGGUAGUCGGAGAAGAAGCCCCGGCUAACUUCGUG